rnacentral:rRNA from 1 species
AACGAACGCUGGCGGCAUGCCUAACACAUGCAAGUCGAACGAAGCCUUCGGGCUUAGUGGCGCACGGGUGCGUAACGCGUGGGAAUCUGCCCUUGGGUUCGGAAUAACAGUUAGAAAUGACUGCUAAUACCGAAUGAUGUCUUCGGACCAAAGAUUUAUCGCCCAAGGAUGAGCCCGCGUCGGAUUAGCUAGUUGGUGAGGUAAAGGCUCACCAAGGCGACGAUCCGUAGCUGGUCUGAGAGGAUGAUCUGCCACACUGGGACUGAGACACGGCCCAGACUCCUACGGGAGGCAGCAGUGGGGAAUAUUGGACAAUGGGCGAAAGCCUGAUCCAGCAAUGCCGCGUGAGUGAUGAAGGCCUUAGGGUUGUAAAGCUCUUUUACCCGGGAUGAUAAUGACAGUACCGGGAGAAUAAGCCCCGGCUAACUCCGUGCCAGCAGCCGCGGUAAU